GUCCGAAUGGGGAAACCCAGUGUGAUUCGUCACACUAUCGUUAACUGAAUACAUAGGUUAACGAGGCGAACCGGGGGAACUGAAACAUCUAAGUACCCCGAGGAAAAGAAAUCAACCGAGAUUCCCCCAGUAGCGGCGAGCGAACGGGGAGCAGCCCAGAGUCUGAAUCAGCUUGUGUGUUAGUGGAACGGUCUGGAAAGUCCGACGGUACAGGGUGAUAGUCCCGUACACCAAAAUGCACAGGUUGUGAACUCGAAGAGUAGGGCGGGACACGUGGUAUCCUGUCUGAAUAUGGGGGGACCAUCCUCCAAGGCUAAAUACUCCUGACUGACCGAUAGUGAACCAGUACCGUG
rnacentral:rRNA from 1 species